CUGACAGAGGUUGUGGAAAUGCUUUUAAUGAAGAUAGGUGGAAGAAAACAUACAGGAAAGUGAAUUAUCACGUUGUUUUUCUUUUUGAAUAAAGGCAGGGAGAAGAUGACUGCUGUCUUCCCCUUCUGCUCUCCAUCUCCUUGGCUUCUUAGCAGAGAAAAGCCUCACCAGGGGCCACUGAGCCCCGUGCUCUGGGGAGACUGAGAACAAGCUCCCCGUAGUGCCAUGUGAGCGCUGCCCCGGGAGCCCCUGCUCCGCUCUUGGCCCUUUUCCGUGGCUCGUGCUCCAUCAGUGUGUGGCCAAGUCCAGCCUGCGGCACCGACUGCUCCCCACGAUGCCUCCAGACACCAAGGGAGCUGUGAAGCAGCCAGGCUGGGACCAACCGCUGGUUUCGGCAGUCCCGUGCUGCUCUCCUGUGUCUUCAUCGCUGCCAGUUCCUAAAAGGAGGCAAAAGGAGGUACACGGAGCCUUGCCCGCGGCCAAAGCGUGUCUCACCCUGUAGCAGAGACAGAGACGUGUCAGGGCCCUCGGGGGCCAGUGGGGAGCGGUGCCAAGGCCAGGAAGAGGACACAAGCCCUGCCCAGCCAUGACCUGAGACCUGGCUUGCAUGAGACAAAGUCUCUCUAGGCCAUUUUGGAUUCCCAGUGUGAAACUUCUGCUUGAUCAUAAAUAAAGCUCGAGAAGCCUCAUUCAUCGAAAGAGAAGCUUUGUU